rnacentral:rRNA from 1 species
AUGCUUAUACUAUCUGGUAGUAUGUUGUACACAACCCAGUGGGUGAAGUUCAUAUAUAAGCAGUAUGAGUGGGUGAAGUUCAGAAUAUCAGAUAUAAGCAGCAUGAGAUCUGUGAAAAAACUGGUUUUCUAUUUCGGAGAAGACAUAUUAAUAGGAGAGUACUACGUACGCACGUCGACGCAGCUUAUUUUUCAGGUGUAUAAUCAAGCCUUCAGCGAGGUUUCUAUCUCCGCCGCGAACAGCCCCAUGGCCGUCCUCGGCAGCAUGACCGGCACGGCCACGGCGUCCUCCCCGUCACCGUCCUUGACGGCCACGAAGAACGUACCCCCGAGAUGCACCUGA